AUUAAUUAACUCCACCAGCUAGGUAGUGUUAUUUGAUUGAUGAUAAGGUUAUCAAUAUAAAUCAGAUGGUUGGAGAGAUGUGAUAUUAUGUCCUAUACGUAAAUUAGUGCAAUGAGGGCCCUGUCCUCACACAGAUUUGCUGUCAAUAUAUGGACACACAUAUUGUACUGAAAUAUUUUUAACAUUAUUUUAUUUACGCAAAUGAAUUUCAUGUUGACAUGUAAGGACUUUGUCUUUGUACAAGACAAAUAUUUUGUUAACAAUCAAGAGAAUACAGCUUUGUUCAGUAGUGGCAACAGUGGAGCUUACAACAUAGCCUUGUUCACCAGUAAAGGAGGUCCUAAUUCAAUGAACAACUUUAGGACAAGAAAGAACACUUUGUACUGUGACUAUUGUAAUUUCAAAGGCCAAACCAGAGAGACUUGCUACAAGUUAAAUGGUUAUCCACCACACUUCAAGUCAAAGAAGGAGUACAACUCUGCAGGGAACUUUGCAAAAGACAGUCAAAUUGUGCAUACUGGGAGCACAGUUAAGGCUUCAAACCUUGGGCCAACAGGAGGAAGCUAAUUUUGCAAAAAGCACCUCAACUACUGGAGAGGCAUCUUAUAGUCAGAAUUAGAGUAACCCAGUGAGAGUGCCUCACUUCACUCCAGAACAAUACUCACAGAUUCUGCAGCUCCUAGGAAAGGGAAGUGAAAGUAAUGAAGCAGCUAUGGCAGCAGGAUCUAUUCAGUGGCAAGUUGAAGGGGACUGGUAAGGAAGAUAGUGGACUAAUUGUGCUCACUUCUAAUACUAGACUGCAGUCCAUGGACAGCUCAAGAAAGGAUACUUCAACAUCACUUGUUGUAAAUACAAAAGGAGAAGGAUGGUAUAAUAAAUGUAGCCUUGUGGCAUAAGAGAUUAGGCCAUGUGCCAAUUGAUGUUCUAAAGAAAUUACUUGUGUUUCAGACUAUUGAUAGUGCAAAUUCUGAUAAACAUUGUACAAUAUGCCCUUUGGCUAAACAAACAAGGCUACCAUUUCCUUUGAGUACUACUAUUUCUACUAGUUGCUUUCA